CUGAGUUUGACAAAAAAUGAACACGGGACCUGAUUGAGGUCAGGCUUGCAUUUAAAUUAUCAUCAAAUAUUAAUGUGACCUUUAUUUUGCUUUCCUGAGGGAAUAAUUCUUUUAAGACAACAGAAAGAUCACAUUUCACAUGGAAACAGACUACACUGGUAAUUAGACGGGCCUUCGCUGGCCUGCAGCUUUCUGCGCUGAACUUGCCAGGCACUGUGGUGCGGAGAGAGAGAGAGACUGCUGAGAAACUGUGAUGAGGACAAGACUAACAGAAGUCAGGGCACGAAUCUACUGUGCGGUGUUGGGUCUGGUGGA